rnacentral:rRNA from 1 species
UACGUAGGGUGCAAGCGUUUAAUCGGAAUUACUGGGCGUAAAGCGUGCGCAGGCGGUUUUGUAAGUUUGUCGUGAAAGCCCCGGGCUCAACCUGGGAAUUGCGAUGAAGACUGCAAGGCUUGAAUCUGGCAGAGGGGGGUAGAAUUCCACGUGUAGCAGUGAAAUCCGUAGAUCUACGAAGGAACGCCAAAAGCGAAGGCAGCUCUCUGGGUCCCUACCGACGCUGGGGUGCGAAAGCAU